rnacentral:rRNA from 1 species
GACGAACGCUGGCGGCGUGCCUAAUACAUGCAAGUUGAGCGAUGAAGAUUGGUGCUUGCACCAAUUUGAAGAGCAGCGAACGGGUGAGUAACGCGUGGGGAAUCUGCCUUUGAGCGGGGGACAACAUUUGGAAACGAAUGCUAAUACCGCAUAAUAACUUUAAACAUAAGUUUUAAGUUUGAAAGAUGCAAUUGCAUCACUCAAAGAUGAUCCCGCGUUGUAUUAGCUAGUUGGUGAGGUAAAGGCUCACCAAGGCGAUGAUACAUAGCCGACCUGAGAGGGUGAUCGGCCACAUUGGGACUGAGACACGGCCCAAACUCCUACGGGAGGCAGCAGUAGGGAAUCUUCGGCGAUGGACGAAAGUCUGACCGAGCAACGCCGCGUGAGUGAAGAAGGUUUUCGGAUCGUAAAACUCUGUUGGUAGAGAAGAACGUUGGUGAGAGUGGAAAGCUCAUCAAGUGACGGUAACUACCCAGAAAGGGACGGCUAACUACGUG